rnacentral:rRNA from 1 species
UACGUAGGGGGCAAGCGUUGUCCGGAUUUAUUGGGCGUAAAGAGCGUGUAGGCGGCCAGGUAGGUCCGUUGUGAAAACUGGAGGCUUAACCUCCAGCUGUCGAUGGAAACCAUCUGGCUAGAGUCCGGAAGAGGAGAGUGGAAUUCCUGGUGUAGCGGUGAAAUGCGCAGAUAUCAGGAAGAACACCCGUGGCGAAGGCGGCCUUCUGGACCAGUACUGACGCUGAGGCACGAAAGCGUGGGGAGCAAACAGG